GCGGGUGUAGCUCAAUGGCAGAGCUCCAGCCUUCCAAGCUGGUCACGUGGGUUCGAUUCCCAUCACCCGCUCCA
rnacentral:tRNA from 2 species